CUUUCUCUCUCUAGAAGACAAAGAAGAGAAGAAAGAAAAGAAAGAAGAAAGGAAAGAAAAGGAAAAGAAUAAGAAGAAGGAGUAGAAGGUGAAGAAGAAGCUAAGGAGUAGAGCUACUUCCUCUUCUUCCUCUUUGGAGCAACAAAGGAAAGCUUACAAGGUAAGCUUUUAUCUCCUAUCAUGGUAGAACUUGAACUAGAGGUUUAAAUGACCUAGGAAUGGUUUUAAUGGAGUCUCUAGAGUGGAUUGAAGCUUCUUUUACUUCCGAA
rnacentral:lncRNA from 1 species